CCUCCUUUCUUGGCAUGCUCGCUGUUUCCUGGUACACGUGUGUGUAUGUGAUGGAGGGACAUGAAAGUCCAGUGCGAUGUCUUCGGUGCCAGACGGCCCCCGUGGUCUGGUUCUAUCCUCACCCACUGGCACAGCU
ensembl:snoRNA